rnacentral:rRNA from 1 species
AGUGAACGCUGGCGGUAGGCCUAACACAUGCAAGUCGAACGGCAGCACAGUAAGAGCUUGCUCUUACGGGUGGCGAGUGGCGGAAGGGAGAGGAAUAUAUCGGGAUCUACUUUUUCGGGGGGGAUAAGGUAGGGAAAGUUACGAUAAGACAGCAUACGACGUACGGGGGAAAGCAGGGGAUAUUCGGACCUUGCGGGAUUGAAUGAGCGGAUGCCGGAUUAGCUAGUUGGUGGGGUAAAGGCCAACCAAGUCGACGAUCCGUAGCUGGUCUGAGAGGAUGAUCGGCCACCUUGGAACGUAGACACGCUCCUGACUCCUACGGGAGGCAGCAGUCGGGUAUAUUAGACAAUGGGCGCAAGCCUUAUCCAGCCAUCCCGCGUGUGUUACGAAGGCCUUCGGUUUGUAAAGCCCUCUUUCUGGUAAAGAACAGCUGCCGCUUAAUACCCCGCUGUUCUGACGGUACCCAAUGAAUAAGCACCGGCUAACUUCGUG